rnacentral:rRNA from 1 species
UACGUAGGGUGCAAGCGUUGUCCGGAAUUAUUGGGCGUAAAGAGCUCGUAGGCGGUCUGUCGCGUCUGCUGUGAAAACUCGGGGCUUAACCCCGGGCCUGCAGUGGGUACGGGCAGACUAGAGUGCGGUAGGGGAGACUGGAAUUCCUUGUGUAGCGGUGAAAUGCGCAGAUAUCAGGAGGAACACUGGUGGCGAAGGCGGGUCUCUGGGCCGUAACUGACGCUGAGGAGCGAAAGCGUGGGGAGCGAACAGG